rnacentral:rRNA from 1 species
UACGUAGGUGGCGAACGUUAUCCGGAAUUAUUGGGCGUAAAGGAUGCGUAGAUGGUGUAGUAAGUUAUCGGUGGCAAAUCGAGGCUCAACCUCGUGGAAGUCGGUAAUACUGCUAUGCUAGAGGAUAGGAGAGGUUAACGGAACUCCCUGUGGAGCGGUGAAAUGCGUAGAUAUAGGGAAGAACACCAAUAAGGCGAAGGCAGUUAACUAUUCUAUUCCUGACAUUGAGGCAUGAAAGCGUGGGGAGCAAAACGG